rnacentral:rRNA from 1 species
AGAGUUUGAUCCUGGCUCAGGACGAACGCUGGCGGCGCGCUUAACACAUGCAAGUCGAGCGAGAACCGGGACUUCGGUCCCGGGGACAGCGGCGAACGGGUGAGUAACACGUGGGUAAUCCACCCUCGGCACCGGGAUAGCCCGGGGAAACCCGGAUUAAUACCGGAUAGCCCCUCCGACUCUCGAGUCGGUCGGAAAAGGUAGCUUCGGCCUCUGGCCGAGGAUGAGCCCGCGGCGGAUUAGCUUGUUGGUGGGGUAACGGCCCACCAAGGCGACGAUCCGUAGCUGGUCUGAGAGGACGAUCAGCCACACUGGGACUGAGACACGGCCCAGACUCCUACGGGAGGCAGCAGUGGGGAAUCUUGCGCAAUGGGCGAAAGCCUGACGCAGCGACGCCGCGUGAGGGAAGAAGGCCUUCGGGUUGUAAACCUCUUUUAAGAGAGAAGAAGCCACUCGGGUUAAUAGCCCAGAGGGUGACGUAUCUCUAAUA